rnacentral:rRNA from 1 species
CACGUAGGGGGCGAGCGUUGUCCGGAUUUAUUGGGCGUAAAGAGCUCGUAGGCGGUUUCGUAAGUCGGAUGUGAAAACUCCAGGCUCAACUUGGAGACGCCAUUCGAUACUGCGAUGACUUGAGUCCGGUAGGGGAGUGUGGAAUUCCUGGUGUAGCGGUGAAAUGCGCAGAUAUCAGGAGGAACACCGGUGGCGAAGGCGGGUCUCUGGGCCGAUACUGACGCUGAGGAGCGAAGGCGUGGGGAGCGAACAGG